rnacentral:rRNA from 1 species
UGCUCCUAGUACGAGAGGACCGGAGUGGACGCAUCACUGGUGUUCGGGUUGUCAUGCCAAUGGCACUGCCCGGUAGCUAAAUGCGGACGAGAUAAGUGCUGAAAGCAUCUAAGCACGAAACUUGCCCCGAGAUGAGUUCUCCCUGACUCCUUGAGAGUCCUGAAGGAACGUUGAAGACGACGACGUUGAUAGGCCGGGUGUGUAAGCGCAGCGAUGCGUUGAGCUAACCGGUACUAAUGAACCGUGAGGCUUAACCUU